ensembl:lncRNA
GCACAGGGGACCAGCAAGAAACCUUGGAGCUAUGGGGCAGUUUCCAUAUGAGGAGAGAAUAUGCAGCGGGACUCCUGGCAGGCCAUGAGAUGGCAAAGCAGGAGAGCCACGUCUGCGGGUUUGCCGGGAGCCAACCACCACAACCAGCUGCACAGCUGAGCCCAGGAGCACCAGGCUGAGUGCACACAACCCAGCAAUGAGCUCUCCUGUGCCAGCUCGGUGCCCGGUGCCUGCUCCCCACAGCCCUGAUGCAUUCUGCAAGCCAUCCGUGGUGCGUCAUUUGGGCCCAAACAAUUCAUCUCUGAGCUGUGGGCCUCAUUAAAACAUCCUCUUGGGAGAAGCCAGGCAAAGAGUCAGGUGUCAGCCGUGCUCUGCGUGGAAAAGCCCGCCUGCUAUUCGGGAGCGUUGUUUGUUCAAACACAGGACAGGAGGGCCCCGGGUCACCUUCCUGCAGCACCGCCAUGAACAAAGCCGAUUGUCCCACCCUGCCUCCAUUCUCUAUGCAAGGAGUGGGUGAGGCCGGCAGCAGCUGGUCGGGCAAUUAUUUAUGAAUGAGAGCGGAGCUUUUCCAGCUGAAGGUGGUUGCUGUGGGCAGAUGCCAGAGCAACACAUGGGCACAUCCCAGCUGUUUGCAGGCUCCGAGCUCUGUCAGAGAUGUAUGUUAACAGAUACAGACACACGUGUGAUUGUCAUCUUGCCAUCCUCUGAAACCAAUGGCUUCAGCUUUUGGGUAAGUUUUUCCAGCAACUGUUAUUUUUCUGCUAUUUCUUGGGGUGUUCUGGGAGGCUGCUUAGAUGGCUGACAUCUCUUCCUCCCUUUUCACAUUAGCUAGUUAAAUGUCCUCCCUUUCCACAGAUCUUUUUGCUGGUGGGAGCAGUAGGUAGGUGGUUGGAAGAGCAAAGGGAUGGAGAGAUCCAGUGUAGGUACCGGGUUCCUGGUGUGAAGCUGAGGGGCUGGCUGGGAAUGAGGAGUGGUAAUGGGUGAGUGGAAGGAAGCCAAACACAAUGGAAAGUGGGAAAGAAGAGAAUGCAGGAUGGGGAUGAAAGAUUACCUGACUGCAGGGAGAUGAUUUAUAUAGUGGGAUGCUGAUUUGUAUUAUGCAAAUAACAAGCACCCACUGUGCAAUGUUUCCUUGGUUUUGUUGUGGUGGUAGAAGAGGGUUGGCUGCCUCCCAUGCUGCUGCUACUGCCAGUGCUGAAGAAAACAGUGUCCUUUCCAGAGCUGUGCUGACAGCAUCGGCUGUCAGCACCCAAACUCAGAUGCAAACAGAACCACCUUCCUGUGUCUGUGGAGUUAAAAAAGAAAAUUAGGAAGAAAGUAGGCUUUGUCUGGUGAAGGACUGGAGUCAAAAGACAGGC